rnacentral:lncRNA from 1 species
AUUUUGUAGUUGAAUUGUAGUGGUUUAUCUUUCUGAUCUGAAUGCUGAAUAAUCUUGAUGGUGUCAUGCUAAUAACUUCAUGCAUAAAACACACUUAUGAAGAGGGCUCAUCGUCAAUAAUAGUGGAUAUAAAUCCAUACUUCCAAUAGUCUUCAUGGUAAUUUUGAAUUUUUUAAUGAUUUCUUGGCAGAUCUGAUUAGCCUGUCAUUGUUCUAAACCUCAAGUGGCUGAUGAAGAGCUUGUCAUAGGAGGAGAAGUGCCAGCAUUUCAGCCAUUUUUUUCUGUUGCUCACUUUUGCUUGUAUUAGUAGAAUUAGAUUCAGUCUGAGGUUUCUUUACAGAAAUCUUUUAAAGCCACUUGUCCAUUUUGUGAAGGUCUCUUUAUUGAAACUCAAGGACGUUUGCCAUAUAACCACUAAUGAGGCACCUUUAAAUGAAAAUGCUUUCCAGAAUUCUAGAACUGAACCCACAAGUGGAGCUUCCUCAGCCUUUUUGCUGUGGAGCUGCCUCAUGAUUCAUCUGUAAACCCAACCAGACAGGACUGUCCAACAUUUGGACUGAACAAAGGCAGCAGUGAUCAUCUUUAUACUUAGUAAUAGGAAAGCAUAAUUUGUUUCUUGUUUUUCUUGUUUUUUGAUUUGAAAUACUUAGGAACAGAAGUUCUAAUAUUUUCUGUCUGCACUCCAAGGGAUUGGUUCAGAUGCUCCUGCAUUGGAGACCACAGGAAUAAACCCUGUCACCAAUAUGAGAACUACCUCAGGCUAGCCUGCUGGAAGAUAAGAAACAACAUGGACCAGAGCCAAGUCAUCCUAGCCAAGGCUAUCCUAGACCAACCAACACAGCCACAUUCUCAGCUGAUCACAGAUGCAUGAGCAAGCCCAGCCAAGAUCUGCAGAACCACCCAGAGAAACCCAUAGACUCAUGAAAAAUCAUAAAUGUUUGUUGUUUAAGCAACUAAGUUUGGGGAUGGUUUGUUACAUACUAGUAGUUAACUGAUACAAACAACCAUGCUGGACCACUAUACUAUAUUUUCCUUCAAAUGAUACUGGCUUCACUUGACUCUAGGAUCCUCCAGGAAUGGAUAGCUCCAGCUGUGAAGAACCUUCCUUUAGACUAUCACCUCAUUGCUCCUCAUCCCUGUCUUACCCCUGCCCCUACCAUUAUGCCAACCCAUAAAGGCAGUUAUAAUUAUUCCUCACCUUUAUUCCUUAGUUUUUUCUGGAGUAGAGAGGAAACCAGGGUGCCUCAACUCUAGCACAAUUUUGAGCUCUGUUUCCUUGCCUACUUCUUUGCCCAUCUCUCCAUCAUUUAGGAGGUGGGUUGGAAUUAGCCACAGUCAGUUGUGCCAAAAUAAUAUACCAGGGUAAUGAGAAGAAGGCACAGAUAGCGCUGGGAAUCAACCCCUCGCACCUUUGGCCUGUCUCUCAGGGUGAGCUUCUUACUCAGUAGUGGUGGGGACCCAAAGUCCCUGAAGGCAUGCUCCUGCUUUGUCACCUGAUCCCCAAAUGAAACCUUGCAAAGCUAAAUUCUCCCUGCCUGCCAGGACUCAGGCAGGGGGCAGCAAGCAGUACCUACAUAGGACUGAAUGGCCCCAGCUGCUCAACUCGAAUUUAAAAAUAAUUUGGCAAUGUGUUCCACAGAGUGAAAGCCUUCUGGGGCAUUUCUGCCAGAUGCCUCCAGCUACUGGGUUCCCACGGAAAGGGAGUGUCAAGUCCUGGGCCCAGAAGAUAUUCUGGGGAUCUGGAACAGGGUACAU